ensembl:snoRNA SNORA72 Small nucleolar RNA SNORA72
CUGCGAACCAUUCUCGCCUGUACGACCAGUCCAUGGUCAGUUCAGGGCUAGUCGUUCGCUAGAUUAAUACCAACACGAGAAUCCACAGACCUGGUGUUCACGCCUCGCCUGUUCUCAACCUGCACUCGUUGGUUACACAA